AAUCAACGCUGGCGGCGCGCUUAACACAUGCAAGUCGAACGAGAAAGGGAGCAAUCCUGAGUAAAGUGGCGUACUGGUGAGUAACACGUGGAUAUCUACCUCUUGGUGGGGAAUAACCUGGGGAAACCUGGGCUAAUACCGCAUAAGUUCGUGAGAAGAAAGGCGCAAGUCGCCGAGAGAGGAGUCCGCGGUCGAUUAGGUAGUUGGCAGGGUAAAAGCCUACCAAGCCGAAGAUCGAUAGCCGGCCUGAGAGGGCACACGGCCACACUGGCACUGAAACACGGGCCAGACUCCUACGGGAGGCAGCAGUGGGGAAUCUUGCACAAUGGGGGAAACCCUGAUGCAGCGACGCCGCGUGAGCGAUGAAGCCCUUCGGGGUGUAAAGCUCUUUUGUCAGGGAAGAAACGGUGAGUUCUAAUAAGCUUGCUAAUGACGGUACCUGAAGAAUAAGCACCGGCUAACUACGUGCCAGCAGCCGCGGUAAU
rnacentral:rRNA from 1 species